GGGUUGUGAGGUUAAGCGACUAAGCGUACACGGUGGAUGCCCUGGCAGUCAGAGGCGAUGAAGGACGUGCUAAUCUGCGAAAAGCGUCGGUAAGGUGAUAUGAACCGUUAUAGCCGGCGAUGUCCGAAUGGGGAAACCCAGUGCAAUUCGUUGCACUAUCGUUAACUGAAUACAUAGGUUAACGAGGCGAACCGGGGGAACUGAAACAUCUAAGUACCCCGAGGAAAAGAAAUCAACCGAGAUUCCCCCAGUAGCGGCGAGCGAACGGGGAGCAGCCCAGAGUCUGAAUCAGCUUGUGUGUUAGUGGAACGGUCUGGAAAGUCCGACGGUACAGGGUGAUAGUCCCGUACACCAAAAUGCACAGGUUGUGAACUCGAAGAGUAGGGCGGGACACGUGGUAUCCUGUCUGAAUAUGGGGGGACCAUCCUCCAAGGCUAAAUACUCCUGACUGACCGAUAGUGAACCAGUACCGUGAGGGAAAGGCGAAAAGAACCCCGGCGAGGGGAGUGAAAAAGAACCUGAAACCGUGUACGUACAAGCAGUGGGAGCACCUUCGGGUGUGACUGCGUACCUUUUGUAUAAUGGGUCAGCGACUUAUAUUCUGUAGCAAGGUUAACCGUAUAGGGGAGCCGCAGGGAAACCGAGUCUUAACUGGGCGUUAAGUUGCAGGGUAUAGACCCGAAACCCGGUGAUCUAGCCAUGGGCAGGUUGAAGGUUGGGUAACACUAACUGGAGGACCGAACCGACUAAUGUUGAAAAAUUAGCGGAUGACUUGUGGCUGGGGGUGAAAGGCCAAUCAAACCGGGAGAUAGCUGGUUCUCCCCGAAAGCUAUUUAGGUAGCGCCUCGUGAACUCAUCUUCGGGGGUAGAGCACUGUUUCGGCUAGGGGGUCAUCCCGACUUACCAACCCGAUGCAAACUACGAAUACCGAAGAAUGUUAUCACGGGAGACACACGGCGGGUGCUAACGUCCGUCGUGAAGAGGGAAACAACCCAGACCGCCAGCUAAGGUCCCAAAGUCAUGGUUAAGUGGGAAACGAUGUGGGAAGGCACAGACAGCCAGGAUGUUGGCUUAGAAGCAGCCAUCAUUUAAAGAAAGCGUAAUAGCUCACUGGUCGAGUCGGCCUGCGCGGAAGAUGUAACGGGGCUAAACCAUGCACCGAAGCUGCGGCAGCGACACUAUGUGUUGUUGGGUAGGGGAGCGUUCUGUAAGCCUGCGAAGGUGACCUGUGAGGGUUGCUGGAGGUAUCAGAAGUGCGAAUGCUGACAUAAGUAACGAUAAAGCGGGUGAAAAGCCCGCUCGCCGGAAGACCAAGGGUUCCUGUCCAACGUUAAUCGGGGCAGGGUGAGUCGACCCCUAAGGCGAGGCCGAAAGGCGUAGUCGAUGGGAAACAGGUUAAUAUUCCUGUACUUGGUGUUACUGCGAAGGGGGGACGGAGAAGGCUAUGUUAGCCGGGCGACGGUUGUCCCGGUUUAAGCAUGUAGGCUGGUUAUCCAGGCAAAUCCGGAUAAUCAAGGCUGAGGUGUGAUGACGAGGCACUACGGUGCUGAAGUAACAAAUGCCCUGCUUCCAGGAAAAGCCUCUAAGCAUCAGGUAACAUCAAAUCGUACCCCAAACCGACACAGGUGGUCAGGUAGAGAAUACCAAGGCGCUUGAGAGAACUCGGGUGAAGGAACUAGGCAAAAUGGUGCCGUAACUUCGGGAGAAGGCACGCUGGUGUGUAGGUGAAGCCCCUGCGGGUGGAGCUGAGACCAGUCGAAGAUACCAGCUGGCUGCAACUGUUUAUUAAAAACACAGCACUGUGCAAACACGAAAGUGGACGUAUACGGUGUGACGCCUGCCCGGUGCCGGAAGGUUAAUUGAUGGGGUUAUCCGUAAGGAGAAGCUCUUGAUCGAAGCCCCGGUAAACGGCGGCCGUAACUAUAACGGUCCUAAGGUAGCGAAAUUCCUUGUCGGGUAAGUUCCGACCUGCACGAAUGGCGUAAUGAUGGCCAGGCUGUCUCCACCCGAGACUCAGUGAAAUUGAACUCGCUGUGAAGAUGCAGUGUACCCGCGGCAAGACGGAAAGACCCCGUGAACCUUUACUAUAGCUUGACACUGAACAUUGAGCCUUGAUGUGUAGGAUAGGUGGGAGGCUUUGAAGCGUGGACGCCAGUCUGCGUGGAGCCAACCUUGAAAUACCACCCUUUAAUGUUUGAUGUUCUAACGUUGGCCCCUUACCGGGGUUGCGGACAGUGUCUGGUGGGUAGUUUGACUGGGGCGGUCUCCUCCCAAAGCGUAACGGAGGAGCACGAAGGUUAGCUAAUCCUGGUCGGACAUCAGGAGGUUAGUGCAAUGGCAUAAGCUAGCUUGACUGCGAGCGUGACGGCGCGAGCAGGUGCGAAAGCAGGUCAUAGUGAUCCGGUGGUUCUGAAUGGAAGGGCCAUCGCUCAACGGAUAAAAGGUACUCCGGGGAUAACAGGCUGAUACCGCCCAAGAGUUCAUAUCGACGGCGGUGUUUGGCACCUCGAUGUCGGCUCAUCACAUCCUGGGGCUGAAGUAGGUCCCAAGGGUAUGGCUGUUCGCCAUUUAAAGUGGUACGCGAGCUGGGUUUAGAACGUCGUGAGACAGUUCGGUCCCUAUCUGCCGUGGGCGCUGGAGAAUUGAGGGGGGCUGCUCCUAGUACGAGAGGACCGGAGUGGACGCAUCACUGGUGUUCGGGUUGUCAUGCCAAUGGCACUGCCCGGUAGCUAAAUGCGGAAGAGAUAAGUGCUGAAAGCAUCUAAGCACGAAACUUGCCCCGAGAUGAGUUCUCCCUGAGACUUUAAGUCUCCUGAAGGAACGUUAAAGACGAUGACGUUGAUAGGCCGGGUGUGUAAGCGCAGCGAUGCGUUGAGCUAACCGGUACUAAUGAACCGUGAGGCUUAACCUUACAACGCCGAAG
rnacentral:rRNA from 1 species